rnacentral:rRNA from 1 species
GGAGCAAAUCCCUAAAAAACGGUACUCAGUUCGGAUUGUAGGCUGCAACUCGCCUACAUGAAGUCGGAAUUGCUAGUAAUCGCGGAUCAGCAUGCCGCGGUGAAUACGUUCCCGGGCCUUGUACACACCGCCCGUCACACCAUGGAAGUCGGUAACACCCGAAGUCGGUAGCCUAACCGUAAGGAGGGCGCCGCCGAAGGUGGGAUUGAUGACUGGGGUGAAGUCGUAACAAGGUAGC